CCUACGGGUGGCAGCAGUGAGGCAUCUUGGUCAAUGGGCGCGAGCCUGAACCAGCCAAGUAGCGUGAAGGAUGACUGCCCUACGGGUUGUAAACUUCUUUUAUAAAGGAAUAAAGUGAGGCACGUGUGCCUUUUUGUAUGUACUUUAUGAAUAAGGAUCGGCUAACUCCGUGCCAGCAGCCGCGGUAAUACGGAGGAUCCGAGCGUUAACCGGAUUUAUUGGGUUUAAAGGGAGCGUAGAUGGGGUGUUAAGUCAGUUGUGAAAGUUUGCGGCUCAACCGUAAAAUUGCAAUUGAUACUGGCAGUCUUGAGUGCAGUUGAGGUAAGCGGAAUUCGUGGUGUAGCAGUGAAAUGCGUAGAUAUCACGAAGAACAUCGAUUGCGAAGGCAGCUAACUAA
rnacentral:rRNA from 1 species